GAUGAACGCUGGCGGCGUGCCUAAUACAUGCAAGUCGAGCGAACGGACGAGAAGCUUGCUUUUCUGAUGUUAGCGGCGGACGGGUGAGUAACACGUGGAUAACCUACCUAUAAGACUGGGAUAACUUCGGGAAACCGGAGCUAAUGCCGGAUAAUAUUUUGAACCGCAUGGUUCAAAAGUGAAAGACGGUCUUGCUGUCACUUAUAGAUGGAUCCGCGCUGCAUUAGCUAGUUGGUAAGGUAACGGCUUACCAAGGCAACGAUGCAUAGCCGACCUGAGAGGGUGAUCGGCCACACUGGAACUGAGACACGGUCCAGACUCCUACGGGAGGCAGCAGUAGGGAAUCUUCCGCAAUGGGCGAAAGCCUGACGGAGCAACGCCGCGUGAGUGAUGAAGGUCUUCGGAUCGAAAAACUCUGUUAUUAGGGAAGAACAUAUGUGUAAGUAACUGUGCACAUCUUGACGGUACCUAAUCAGAAAGCCACGGCUAACUACGUG
rnacentral:rRNA from 1 species